CCUACGGGAGGCAGCAGUGGGGAAUAUUGCACAAUGGGCGAAAGCCUGAUGCAGCAACGCCGCGUGAGCGAUGAAGGCCUUCGGGUCGUAAAGCUCUGUCCUCAAGGAAGAUAAUGCCGGUACUUGUGGAGGAAGCAACGGUUAACUACGUGCCAGCAGCCGCGGUACUACGUCGGGGGCUAGCGUUAUCCGGAAUUACGGGGCGUAAAGGGUGCGUAGGGGGUUUCUUAUGUCAGAGGUGAAAGGCUACGGCUCAACCGUAGUAAGCCUUUGAAACUGGUGAACUUGAGUGCAGGAGAGGAAGGUGGAAUGCCUGGUGUAGCGGUGAAAUGCUGAGAGAUUAGGAGGAACACCAGUUGCGAAGGCAGCUCUCUGGACUGUAACUGACGCUGAGGCACGAAAGCGUGGGGAGCAAACAGGAUUAGAUACCCCAGUAGUC
rnacentral:rRNA from 1 species